GCUAACGGGGGUCUGUGAGUGUCGUGAUGUCGUGGGGGGCUGGCAUUGUCCGGAAUCCUUGGCCGUAAAGAGCGGGUAGGUGGCCCGGUAAGUCCGCGUGGAAAGUCGGGGGCUCAACCUGCGAAAGCCGGUGGAUACUGUCGGCGUAGAGUGCGUAAGAGGCGAGUGGAAUUCCUGGUGUAGCGGUGAAAUGCGCAGAUAUCAUGAGGAACACCGAUUGCGAAGGCAGCUCGCUGUGACGUAACUGACGCUGAGACGCGAAAGCGUGGGGAGCAAACAGGAUUAGAUACCCUAGUAGUC
rnacentral:rRNA from 1 species